ensembl:lncRNA
GGGGGCGUGUGUGGGAGAGCGGGGCCCUGAAGGCAUGGGUUCCAGGAGAAGGACAGGCCCGGAAGAAGAUGAGGGGUGGGAGCCGGAGCCAGAGGCUUGGAGUUGGAGAGGACAGAAUCUCGGUUUUCCUGGAGGGAACGCCGUUCCUGUAGCAGCCAGGUCAGUGAUGGGGAGUGUCAGUGUCCUGGUCACCUGGCAGAAGUAGGCUCCGCAUUGUGGGAGGAACACGAGUUCAAGACCCGCUGCUAAUGGGAGAGAAUUUUGCUUCACGCAGUGGCAGUUAAGAGGGUAGGAAUAACACAAGAGGGCACAAUCUGUCAGCAAAUCCUGCCUGCUGGGCCUUCUCAUCACAACCAGAGCCAAACCACUUCUCAGCACCUCCGCUGCUUCCGCCCUCGUCUGAGCCUCCACCGCUCUCACCUGGGCGCCCUAUUUCCACCUUGUGCCUUCUGUCGAUUCCUCGACUCAGCAGCCUGAGGAAUCCUUGCACAGAAGUCAGAUCACAUUCCUUCCCUGUUGUCAAGGGAAGAAGACAAAUGGGCAUGAGGAGGAGAAGAUCAGGGGCUUGGAAGCCAAGAUUUUGCCGAUUUGACUUGUGCAACUUGGGCAAAACAAAAUGUUGAGCCUCAGUCUUUUCAUCUGUGAAAUGGGGAUAACAAACUCUGAUAUGAUGGGGUCAAUAGUGACAAAGAAGUGAAAGCAGCCAUGAUAGCAUGGCAGGGCCUAUCUGGAGUUUGGCCAUUGCAGGGGGGUGGAUGACAUCCUUGUGUGUUCUAGGCCCUUUGAAAUACGUUAUCUGAAGCCUCAGCAACUCCACGGGGUUCCCAGAGGUGAGGAAACAUGCCCAGAGACAGAACACGACUUCACCAGGGCCACCCUGUGGGGCACGCUGGCACCUGCACAGCCCAACUUCACCUGGUUCCAGCCCUGCCCGCGCUCUGCUCCCCACUUCCCGUAACCCUGGGCUGGCGUCAGCAGGCAGGCCUGCCAGGAGGCUGGAGCUGCCAACGACCUAUUUUUCUGGGCAAGAAGAGCCAUUUGGAGUUAGAGGUCUCAGCUGUGGAGCCAGAACAAUAAAAAUAAAAACAGCGUGGACUCCUGGGCAGCCUGGACCAGGGAACCAACUGCCCCAAGAGUUGCUUGCUGCUCACCAGGCUGAGGAACAAGUGGGGUGGGGGGAUGGGAGAUGGGAGUGACCUUACUGAGCCCCUGCUGUGUCCUCUGGCCCUUGCAGAGUAAGGAUAAUCUCCAAGGCUCACAACAGCCCCUUUCUCUGGGUUGCCAAACCAGUCAGGAUUUGAACUCAGUUUUCCAAACAAUUCCCAUCUGUUCGGCAUCUACUAUGCUUUACAGACUGUGACAUUCAUACCACACCUGGGAGGGUGAGCUAAUCAUUCCCUCAUUUUACAAAUGAGGCAGCUCUGCUCACACGCCACCUCCUUGAGAGGUCUUGCCAGACCACCCUGUUAAAGUAGUCACCCCCACCCCUGCCCAAUAUGCCCUACCCUCUUCCCUACUUUAUUUUAUCUUCAUAGCAUGCAUCACGACCUGCUAAUAUUGUGU